GGGAGUUGUGAGCAAUAGGCGGGGAGGAGGGGAAGAGUGGCGAGGGAGGAUAGGGGAGGGGAGGAAAAGCUCACGAAGGUGGGGGAGGGAAGAUUGACAAGGAAGGUGGGAGGGGAGAGAGAAGGAUACACACAGACAUAUAUGUUUACCAACAGCCUAUUCCUUCAAUAAUUACCGAUGACAUUUUUUCAUCAAUAAUUACUGACGAUCAAUAUUUGUUAGUAAUGUUUACCAACAAAGGUAUUACCGACAGAUAAAUGAUCGUCUAUAAUUCGUUACUGACAAAUUUUGACUAUUUCUAACGAAAUAUGUUUGUCGAUAA
rnacentral:lncRNA from 1 species